rnacentral:rRNA from 1 species
UACGGGGGGGCAAGCGUUGUUCGGAAUUACUGGGCGUAAAGGGCUCGUAGGCGGCCAACUAAGUCGGAUGUGAAAUCCCCAGGCUCAACUUGGGAACUGCAUCCGAUACUGGAUGGCUUGAAUUCGGGAGAGGGAUGCAGAAUUCCAGGUGUAGCGGUGAAAUGCGUAGAUAUCUGGAGGAAUACCGGUGGCGAAGGCGGCAUCCUGGACCGACAUUGACGCUGGGGUGCGAAAGCAUGGGGAGCGAACAGG